rnacentral:rRNA from 1 species
CCUACGGGAGGCUGCAGUGGGGAAUAUUGGACAAUGGGGGCAACCCUGAUCCAGCCAUGCCGCGUGUGUGAAGAAGGCCCUCGGAUUGUAAAGCACUUUCAGUGAGGAAGAACGCCUGGUGGUUAAUACCCAUCAGGAAAGACAUCACUCACAGAAGAAGCACCGGCUAACUCCGUGCCAGCAGCCGCGGUAAUACGGAGGGUGCGAGCGUUAAUCGGAAUUACUGGGCGUAAAGCGCGCGUAGGUGGCUUGAUAAGCCGGUUGUGAAAGCCCCGGGCUCAACCUGGGAACGGCAUCCGGAACUGUCAAGCUAGAGUGCAGGAGAGGAAGGUAGAAUUCCCGGUGUAGCGGUGAAAUGCGUAGAGAUCGGGAGGAAUACCAGUGGCGAAGGCGGCCUUCUGGACUGACACUGACACUGAGGUGCGAAAGCGUGGGUAGCAAACAGGAUUAGAUACCCCUGUAGUC